AACGAACGCUGGCGGCAGGCUUAACACAUGCAAGUCGAACGCGUGUAGCAAUACACGAGUGGCGCACGGGUGAGUAACGCGUGGAUAUCUGCCUUUUGGUUCGGAAUAACCCCGGGAAACUGGGGCUAAUACCGGAUGGUUCCUUCGGGAUAAGGAUUUAUCGCCAAAAGAUGAGUCCGCGUCCGAUUAGCUAGUUGGUGAGGUAAUGGCUCACCAAGGCGACGAUCGGUAGCUGGUCUGAGAGGACGAUCAGCCACACUGGGACUGAGACACGGCCCAGACUCCUACGGGAGGCAGCAGUGGGGAAUAUUGGACAAUGGGGGCAACCCUGAUCCAGCCAUGCCGCGUGAGUGGUGAAGGCCUUCGGGUUGUAAAGCUCUUUUGGCGGGGACGAUGAUGACGGUACCCGCAGAAUAAGCCCCGGCUAACUUCGUGCCAGCCGCCGCGGUAAUAC
rnacentral:rRNA from 1 species